rnacentral:rRNA from 1 species
UACGGAGGAUGCGAGCGUUAUCCGGAUUUAUUGGGUUUAAAGGGUGCGCAGGCGGCACGGCAAGCCGGCGGUCAAAUCGCGGGGCUCUACCCCGCCCAGCCGUCGGAACUGCCGGGCUAGAGUGGGCGAGAAGUGCGCGGAAUGCGUGGUGUAGCGGUGAAAUGCAUAGAUAUCACGCAGAACUCCGAUUGCGAAGGCAGCGCACCGGCGCCCUACUGACGCUCAGGCACGAAAGCGUGGGUAUCGAACAGG